rnacentral:rRNA from 1 species
AUGAACGCUGGCGGCGUGCCUAAUACAUGCAAGUCGAGCGAACGGACGAGAAGCUUGCUUCUCUGAUGUUAGCGGCGGACGGGUGAGUAACACGUGGAUAACCUACCUAUAAGACUGGGAUAACUUCGGGAAACCGGAGCUAAUACCGGAUAAUAUUUUGAACCGCAUGGUUCAAAAGUGAAAGACGGUCUUGCUGUCACUUAUAGAUGGAUCCGCGCUGCAUUAGCUAGUUGGUAAGGUAACGGCUUACCAAGGCAACGAUGCAUAGCCGACCUGAGAGGGUGAUCGGCCACACUGGAACUGAGACACGGUCCAGACUCCUACGGGAGGCAGCAGUAGGGAAUCUUCCGCAAUGGGCGAAAGCCUGAUGGAGCAACGCCGCGUGAGUGAUGAAGGUCUUCGGAUCGUAAAACUCUGUUAUUAGGGAAGAACAUAUGUGUAAGUAACUGUGCACAUCUUGACGGUACCUAAUCAGAAAGCCACGGCUAACUACGUG